GUGCUCUGUAUAUAUGUACAGGAGGAUAAUUUUUAAAACUGUACUUAUAUAAAAGAGAGGAGACCUGAUUCAACUUUUGCAUAGACUGAUAUAAAGUAGAAGUGAGCACAUGGAAGACUUUGAAACUACACAGCUGUAAAUUUGGAGUAAAUGAAAAGCAAAUUAGAUGUAGAAUAAAAUCAAGAUAUGCUAAGAACAUCAGAAGAGAUGUACUGGCUCAGCCCUGUGGUUGACAUAGCCCAACAGUGUCUCUGACAGUAGCACAGGAAACACUAUUAGGUACAACAUGCAAGCCUAGCAGUUUCUACUAUUGACUUCCCUCAUACUCCAGCGUCCAGAAGUGGUGCACAAGGGAUAUUAGAAACUGCUGGGUUCCUGUCCACAUUCAGAUUAUCCACUAGUGUAUGGGAACUGUUGAAUCACGGCCUGAACCUCUGAUUGACCACCUGAGGCAAGCGCUGAGUCAGCUGCAGGGGCACAGGUGAACGCAAUUUCACCUGAGUGACCCUCCUAGACCCCAUUUAAGGGCUGACUCCCAAGGCGGACGGCUCUCUAUCUGGAGAUCACUCCUCUUGGAGCUCUUCUGUGAGCCUAGGACACAGGUAUGAUGCCAUGCUGUCAGAGCUGCCAUGGAAACUGCUGGUGCCUAGGGGGACAGAUUCUGCAAUCACAGCUGUCAGGAAGAGCAACCACAGUUUCUCUUGUCUAAGAGUCAUCAUCUGGUUUUGUGCUGUUACUGCUUGCCUUCCCUUUUGUUCCAGAGCCUGAUGUGUUCUCAUGAAAACGAGAAUAUUCAUUUCUCAAGUACCCUGCCUGGGACUUAAAGAAUGCUUUGAAAUCAGUGAUGUUACUUCAACAGAAGCGAGGAACUGAAACAUCCAGUAUGAAUACCAAAACUCUUCUGUGGUGAGUGCUUGAUUUUUAAAUUAUAUCCUGUUUUAAAUUCCAAGUCUCCUCCCUAAGUUAAAGCCUUUCCACAAGAGGCAGCAUGCAUUCGUAACAAUUUAAUUGAGUUUAUUUGAUGUUAUAAUCAUGCCAUUAGUUAAUUUAGCACAGUUCUAUGUGGGUCCUAGGAAUAAUGACACGUGCAGCUCGGUUGCUAUACUGCUCUGCAGCACAAGCCAGGAGAAACUAAAAGAAACAAGUCCCAUGCAGAAAGCUUCAAGUUUUAAGGUUCUUUAAAUAAAAAGAUGUCAUUUAAAUGGCAGCUAGGAGCACGGUGGAAGGAGAUCCUAAAGUAAUCAGGUGGUGGGGUGGUACAAAGCAAAUGUUCUCUUUGCAGGGCUGGCAUCGUGUGGUGUGUUUUCUGAAGUGAACAACACCUAUGGCAUUCACUUAUGCUUGAGUUAUCAUUCCUUUCAGACCUUGCACAUCUGUUUCUGGGUCUCUCUUUGGAAGCACUGGAAAGGAAAAGCUUGAAAGAAAGCACUCUUUCACAGGUAUGUACCUGUUUGAAUCUCUGAGACACCUUUAAAAAUAGAGUGGGCAUGUCCUAUCGCAUACUGAGAAGUGAGAGAAAUGAGGGUGGGGUAAGUAUUGUCCUCCCUUGGAAGCUGAGAGAUUGAGGAAGCUCCUUCCUCAUGGCUGAACAUGCUGAGCAGCUGUGUAAAUGCUCUCUGCCCAUUUUGCUUAAAAAGAAACAGGUUUGCACUAACUCCCUUGGAUGGUGGGUGGUUUAAACUAACCUCCCAGCUGUGCACUGAAAUGAAUUAAAGGUAUAUGUACAAUGGACCAUGGUGUCUGGGCUGAAAGACCUUCCACCACAUCGCAGGCCCUUGUUCCAUCGUGCCGUGCUGUUUGCACACAGACUGCUGGUGGCUGCGCAACACAGGAGUGUGGGGCUGGGAAAGGAUCGGGAGUGCUGAGUGUGCAGUCUGCACCCAGCAUCACACCACAGCUUCCCCCAGACGGCACACUGCUGCGCGUGGAGCAGAAAUCUGCCUCUGUUUCCUAUUUUAUAGAAACUGAAAUGACCGCAGUGGAUCUGUCCCUAGCUGCUAUCCAGCAGGCCCUGCUUUAAUUUUAGAAUAUGUUUGGGACUUUCCCUUCUGAGGGUCUUCAGACCUGAUUUUCUGGGUGAGUAUUAGUAAUAAUGGUCCAAAAAAAGCCAAAAAGAAAUAUAUGAAACAUUCUAUUAAGUUUGAAAUGAAAUUCUGAAUAAGAUGUGUGUGUUCUUCACAGAAUAUUUACUUUGUAAUACAACCAUUGAUAAUAAAAAAAAAAAACUGCAGUAGUUUUCAGUAUACUUAGAUUGUCUGUUUUCUUCCUUUAUUUUCCUAAUUUUUGCAAUAUUUUUCCUAGUUUCAAAGGAAAGGGUUGAAACUGUAGAGCUCUGGGAGUUGUCCCAUUUGCCACAUGUUGUGUAUGUGUGCAUUUUAUAUAUAUAUAUAUAGACAUUGGGGCUUAGCCUAGGUAGUGACAAGAAUGCAUCCAGUGCUGGUAGACUUGAGAAACAAUAAAAUAAUGUCCUACUCCAUAAAUCCACCACUCCAGACUUCGAAUCACCCGUCUUGGCCAGAAAUCACUGUGGGAAAAGAAGAGGGAGAUGGGGGAGGAUGGAAGAUGAUAUUCAUCCAUCUGUGCUCUCCUUUAGCAUACUCGACCUUCCCACAGCUUUGGAGUGUGCUCUGAGAGGCCAAAAGUCUUCUGGCCUGAAUUCUCCUCCUCUUAAUUUUAACCUGCCAAAUAAUCUAAACUAGAAAUAUGCUUGCCUUAGGCUUUCUAUGGAGUCAAUGGAGAGAGAAAAGCAUCUCCAGAAGAUGACUCAGAUAUUCCACAGGCUCUGGUACUUGGCAAGGCCAGAUGUGCUCCUCCCAGCUGGACAGCAGCAGGGAGCCAGGGAAGCCCCAGAAGCCCCAGCUGUGAGUGACAGCACAUCAGGGAGCUCCUAGACAGGUGCGAGGGGCUCUCCUGCAUGCAUUGCAGUCACGAUCACAGGCUACACAGAAACACACCAAAAGGAAAGCAUCGGAAAGAAGCACUCCUAUCAGCCCUUGUACAAGAGAGCCAUUUUCUCUCUGCCUUUACCUUUGCCUCAAAGAGUGACUUGGAACUAAGUGCUGCUGCUCAUGUGUAAACAGAAAUGGGAAACAUGCAUCCUCAACUGAAAGUGAAAUGUGCUCUUCAUUGUAUUUUCUAAUUUCUUCCUCUAAGCAAGGAAGAAUUUCUUAUUUUUAUCCCACUUGAUCCUGACUGCAGCAUUCAGCUGCUGUGUUGCUAUCAACAGCACAGUCCUGAGGCCCCAAUUUCACUCAUUUGACACACACAAGGGCUAUGCUUCAGGCCAGCACAAAUUAGUCCCAACAAAAGCAGUUAUGCACUACCAUUCUUUUCUCAUCCCCCUCUGUGCUAUCCCUUCCCUCAGGCAAUGUUGGGUGUUUACCCACUCUGUGUUUAACUGCACCUCACGAAGGGCCAAUCAGUUCUUAUUUCCUACUCUUGCUUUAGCCUGAAUGCAUUCCCCUGUGCGGUUCACUGCUCAGCAUACAGAUCUAUAGCUAGCACAGCCUAUAACUAGUGUAAUUUAUGAAAUGCUGAUAUUCUGUUGAGCUAGAGCCAUCUACACUAAAAUUUAUAGAUUUUAUUCUAAUGUAGUUUUGCAUCUUGCUAGAAAACAUCUUGGAGACAGUUGGAUCAAGUAUCAUAGAACCACAGAAUGACUUGGGUUGGAAGGGACCUAAAAGCCCACCCAGUUCCACCCCCCUGCCUUAGGCAGGGCUGCCACCCACCAGCUUAGGCUGCCCAGCGCCCCAUCCAACCUGGCCUUGAAUGCCUCCAGGGAUGGGGCAUCCACAGCCUCUCUGGGCAGCCUGUGCCUCAGUGCCUCACGGCCCUCUGACUAGAGAAUUUCCACCUAAUAUUUAACCUAAAUUUCCUCUCUUUUAGUUUGAAGCCAUUCCCCUUUGUCCUAUUGCUAUCAGGUCGUAUAGAAAGUUGGUCUCCCAGAAAAACACCAUUUUAUCCUCUAUGCAGUAACAACAUUCCUGAUGAGAAUUUAACAGCAUCUGACUUUGCUGAAAUACUGUUAUAAACUAAAUCAGCUCAGUUUCGUUAAAUCCUUAUUAGGACAUUAAACCACCCAGCGUUUAACUCACACUCUGAUUCUGAACUGAAACUCUCACAGAAAAGAUUUCCUAAUGACGUGUUACCAUUUACUUCAAAAUGGCAGAAUGUCCAUACUACUUCAGUUUUUUGUAAACUCAUCAUUAGCAUCUAGAUGUGAGUGCAACUAUCACUGUGUUUUGUAGAGGCAGAUUUCAAAACUUUUACACGUAGGAGUUAAAACUUUAAGUAAGAAUUGGUCAUUUAAGUUCUGCAAUGACUGACUGAUCUAGAUAGCAUUACUGCCACUGAUCCUAUUAUGGAUUUUAAGAUGUGAAUGCCAUGCCGAUCAGAAUUAUGCAACUUAACCCUUGUAAUACAUCCUCUAUAUAUAAUUCUUCUGCCAAAGAUUUGUGGUCCACUACGUGGCACAAGCACUGCUGACCAUCUGUUCCAUUAGAGAUGUCACAGACACAAGUGCAACCGUUUCAAGGAACGGUAAAUAAGCACCCUGGACAGAACGUACACUGGUCCUUUGUUCAGCAGUAGCAUAAGAGACAUACUUCAGAUCUGCUUAGUAAACGUAUUUUCCAAUACAGACUGGACUGCUGCCUCAUCGUAAGUACUCCUGUUAACCACAAAUUUUUAAGGAUAAGAGCUGAUGAACUUGACAUUUCUCAUUUAAAAGUGUCUCUAGAACCAGGGCCAGAGAAUAUUUGCAGGUCCAAGGCCCACAGCUGUCAAAAUGUCAAAGCUGAGCAAUGGCUUUGAGGUAUAAAUUAGUUCUUGUAAGGUGCAACUAAAGAUCUUUUCUUGAGCAUACAGGGCUCGAUUUCCAUUCAUAACUUCUAAACAGUCAAGUCUGUAACAACCAACUGCAGUCACAGAAUGUAUGUCUACCUGUUUGACUUUGUGUGACCCUUGAAGGAAGAGAAGCCUCAGAGCAUGUGGCACUUACAACAUGAAGUGGCAGUUUGUCUGAGGUUUCUGGAUUGUGUCACCUGUGCCUGGUCUGCUUCUGCCCUGUUUGCAUGGGCGGGGCUCAGACAUACUUUUCAAAUGAGCCACUGACAAUGAAACACCUGAUUUUCUGCUUCAAAACACAAAACGAGUAGGCUCUGAAACCGACUGCUGCCCAGCAAAACUCCACUCCACAUCGGUGUUCUUUUAUCUUCCCAAUUUCAGCAGAGACAAAGAGGAUUUCUGAUUCAAGACAUAAACCAACAGGUUUUCUGUCUUCUUUGUGAAAUUCAGAUAGAGACAGAAACUGCUUUUAAGACCUCUACUAUGUGUACAGAGCCAUGAGAUCGUGUGCAGAAGCUGAAGACCUACAAGAGGUAAAGAAGCAGUGAGCUCUUCUCUACUUACCUCCUCCAUGCAGAUCCCCGAAAGUCAUGCGGUUAAUAUCACAUUUUCAGUUCAUAAAUGAAUACAUACUCUACUCUUAAUGUAGACAUUCUUAAAAGCUUUCAUUAUUUGUGCUAGAUUACAAACGAGUUCCUUUUAUUGAAUCGUCAUGGUGACAAGUGUUAUUACAAUAAAUAUAUUUAAGGAAUUUUUAAAAAUGCAGCAGAUUUCUCCAUCUUUUUGUUAUCAUCAUGUCUCUUUUUUCAGAGGUGUCUGAAUAGAGCUGUAUGACAAACAGAGUUGAUUCCCGAGCGCUCCUGUACAGGCCAUUAUCUGCCCAUCACAAGGCAGAAAGUACUCGAAAAGAAUUCUUGCUGCUAGGUAGAGUAACAUGAUGUCCCCACAUCUGAGUUUCAAAACACAUUUUUAGGGGGCAGGAGAGAAGUUCCUAUAUUCAAAUCACACAUUUGAAUCACUGAGAAUUGUAAUAUCGUGCAAAACUAGGUUUCUGGUAUAUUUUUAGUAUUCAGAUGAGAUUGUGCCAUGAAUAACCGAUCCAUUUUUGACUGUACCAUUUUAGGAAAAAAAAUGUUUUUACUAAACAAUUAGCAAAUUUCCUCCAAAAGCUGCCCUGAUAAGGAAGAGAGCAUCACAUGGCACGUUUGGGAUGCGUGCAAACACGUGCCACGUGGGCCACUGAGCAGAGCGGCGUGACAGCAGCUUGCUAUGAUUGCUCCAUCACGCCGAUGGCAGAGCCCCUUUGGAGUUUGGAACAGGAACGUUACAGUGAACAGAAACCACCCAUGCUUUCUUUUGCCUGGAAGACAAGAUUAUAUAGACAUACAUAUGCAUGAAAUGAGUUCUAUUUAAAAUGCUUUAAUUUCUAUGAACCUCCCCUCCAAAAAGAAUUCCCCCCCCAAAAAAACCUGACGGGAACUUUCUCUUCACUUCAGCUUUUUCUCGUCCGGAAAAGUCUCUAGACAUCAUUCCAACGAACCGCCCCUCCGGCCCCGGCAGGGCUGCGCUCCCCGCCCCGCU
ensembl:lncRNA